UAGCUCGAGUUUCUCAUGAUCUACACAUAAAUCUUCCACCUUUUACGAAAGAUUUCCCUAGAGUGAAACCAGAGUGAGUUUAAAGUAAUUUUUGACGGCUCUGCUCACAGCAGGCCU